rnacentral:rRNA from 1 species
GAGGAAGGUUUAGUUCGGCGUCGCCGACUCCAGGUUGUUUAGGGGUUGGGAUUACCGAACGGUUACCGCUGCCGCCACAUCUAGGACAUGGAUCUACCCGCUGGAACCGAUGACCUCCUUCGAAAGGUAAAGACGGGGAUCUACAUGGAUCGACCCGCCGGAACCGAUGACCUUCUUAGAACCAGCAGAGCAGCGGCCGCCAGCCCGACGGGCCCGCCUGGAGAGGACACGACGCGGCGCUGCGACAGGCUCGGUUAGAGGUCCACUGAUUUGUUAGUCGAUAAACCUAAAACCGCAUCUUGUGUUACAGACCAAACCCAUACGACCUAUUAGCGUCGAGCAGUUGAUGAUUCGAGCGGGGGCGGCAAGACAACCAAGUAGAGCUAGACUUUACCUCCCUUCAUCACGUUAUAGUGGAAAUCCUCUCGUGUAUCAAGGUUUUUAGCGUUUGACACAUGGUUGUGAUAGUCCACUCUUGUGUGCCAGGUUUUUCCGGUUACGAUCAGUAUUUUGAGGUAAAUUUUUUUUAACACUACGAGUUUACGAUCGGUAAUUUGAGGUAAAAAAUUUUUUAAUAAACAAAUGUGAUAAUUAGGGGUAAUAUCUUAUCAGUAUUUGAGAUAAAUUUUUUAAAUUUUGGUAAAGAAAGAGGAAUGAUACAUACGAAACAAUACAUCUACAUCCUUUGAUAAUGCAACAACACAUGAGGGAGGCAAAGAUUUAUAUUCGGGAAAAUCUCUAAAUUUAUGCCUGAUGUAUGUCUACAUAUAUCUGUAUAAAAUCUCACACCUAAGUGAAUAAAACGAGGCAUACAUCAGGUAUAACUUUAGAGAUUUUCCAGAAUAUAAAUCCUUACCUCCCUCAUGUAACCUCAUUCUCACUUUACCCUGGAGUAGUUUGUAUGGUGAGAAGUAACUUGUAGGACUAGUUCACUGGCUCGAUCAAACAAUCAUGUUUAACAGACAAAAAACUGGGAAUGUCUUUACUUAGUGGGUAUUUAUCUAUAUUACAAGCAAGAUCUAUCAUUGUUAUGGGUUUACUAAAUCGACCAAUAUAACGUAAGCUUAGUAGAAAGGUGAGUGUAUAAACUCUUUUGCAACAUCCUUUAAAGUAGGGGGGGAUACCGUCUUUAAUAUGGACUAGUUUAACAAUAAGUUCAAAUCACUACUAUAAUUCAUUUCACAUCUUUACUGAUAUACGUCACAUGUCAAGAGAAGGACGAUCACUUUACCAUAAAAAUGAGUAAUCUAAUCGAGUCCUCGUUUAUAAAAUUCAUACCUACACACUCUGAAUGUGCCAGAACACGAGUUUGACUAAGUCUGAAACAAACCACAGUAGAAAGGCCGUGUAUUUGGAGCUACUCGUUCUUCGUGGUCGUGGCUUCUACGAGUACAGGUUCACCGGUCUAAUACUCCUCUCUCGUUCAGAACGAACUACGGUUUUGGGGACAUUGACUCACCAACAGGUGAGACGAAACGUGACUCAAAAAGUCUCAACAUCUAGUACCUGGUUAGGAACGACUCUUAACUUUAGUUUUAAUACGUUAAGACGUAUACCAUCAACAAUUGGACGACAUACGUACAAAGAUGACUAAUUAAAAAGAACAUUAUUCGCAUCUAAUAACGGUCUAGAACCAACGAAACGAAGGACGGUACGAAAACGAUAACCUU